rnacentral:lncRNA from 1 species
CAGUCCACACCAUCACACACACACACCCACACACAUCCAUACAGUCCAUACCAUCACACACACCCGCACACAUCCAUACAGUCCACACCAUCACACACACACCCGCACACAUCCAUACAGUCCACACCGUCUCACACACACACCCGCACACAUCCAUACAGUCCACACCGUCUCACACACACACCUGCACACAUCCAUACAGUCCACACCAUAACACACACAUCCAUACAGUCCACACUGUCAUACACACACACAUCUAUACAGUCCACACCAUCACAUGCACACACAUCUA